rnacentral:rRNA from 1 species
UGCUCCUACGGGAGGCAGCAGUGGGGAAUUUUGCGCAAUGGGGGAAACCCUGACGCAGCAACGCCGCGUGGAGGAUGAAGCCCCUUGGGGUGUAAACUCCUUUCGACCGGGACGAUAAUGACGGUACCGGUGGAAGAAGCACCGGCUAACUCUGUGCCAGCAGCCGCGGU